AUACGUAGGGGGCAAGCGUUGUCCGGAAUUACUGGGCGUAAAGGGUGCGUAGACGGCUGAUUAAGUCUGAUGUGAAAGUCCCGCUUUUAACCUGGGAAUUGCUUUGGAGACUGGAUGGCUUGAGUGCGGAAGAGGUAAGUGGAAUUCCUAGUGUAGCGGUGAAAUGCGUAGAGAUUGGGAGGAACACCAGUGGCGAAGGCGACUUACUGGGCUGUAACUGACGUUGAGGCGCGAAAGCGUGGGGAGCGAACAGGAUUAGAUACCCUGGUAGUCCACGCGGUAAACGAUGAAUGCUAGGUGUGGGGGGUAUCGACUCCUGCUGUGCCGGAGUUAACACAAUAAGCACUCCGCCUGGGGAGUACGGCCGCAAGAUUGA
rnacentral:rRNA from 1 species